rnacentral:rRNA from 1 species
AUUGAACGCUGGCGGCAGGCCUAACACAUGCAAGUCGAACGAGUGGCGGACGGGUGAGUAAUGUCUGGGAAACUGCCCGAUGGAGGGGGAUAACUACUGGAAACGGUAGCUAAUACCGCAUACCAUCAGAUGUGCCCAGAUGGGAUUAGCUAGUAGGUGGGGUAAUGGCUCACCUAGGCGACGAUCCCUAGCUGGUCUGAGAGGAUGACCAGACACGCUGGAACUGAGACACGGUCCAGAAUCAUACGGGAGGCAGCAGGGGGGAAUAUUGCACAAUGGGCGCAAGCCUGAUGCAGCCAUGCCGCGUGUGUGAAGAAGGCCUUCGGGUUGUAAAGUACUUUCAGCGAGGAGGCGUUACUAGCAGAAGAAGCACCGGCUAACUCCGUGCCAGCAGCCGCGGUAAUAC